AAAGUCGUAACAAGGUCUCCGUUGGUGAACCAGCGGAGGGAUCAUUACAGAGUUAUACAACUCCCACACCAUCUGUUAACCUACCCAGUUAUGCCUCGGCGUAAGCUCGGCCGGAGGCAGUCCAGAGCUACCCUGUAGCGAUGGCUGCACCACUCCGGCCGCGCCCGCCGGCGGUACACUAAACUAUGUUUUAUUUUAUCUUCUGAGCGUCUUAUUUUAAUAAGUUAAAACUUUCAACAACGGAUCUCUUGGUUCUG
rnacentral:misc_RNA from 1 species